UGUUGUACUCUUUCAGGGGUCCAUAGAAAGCAAAAGGGGAAAGAAAUGGGAUCCAUUCUUUACAGCAACAAGCAGAAGAUGGGAUACUUGGAAUUUUAAAAAUUUAAUAUCUGCCUUUCUGAGUUUUGAUCUUGCUUUGGGAGGUUCACUGCAGAGUUUGCCUUGAGCUUCAGAAGACUUUGAACUUGAGUUUUUAGCCCAUAUUGGAGCAACUUGGAGAUGGAGUGAAUGAAUUUUACAUUGUGAGAAGAGCAUCAGUUUUGCAGGCCACGGGAGGAAUGCUGUAGUUUGGAUACUAUCUGUCUCCACAAAGGAACUGUGAACCAUCAGUACCAUGUAAACAGUCAAGUUGUUUCUGCAACCAUACAGCAAAAUGGGAAGAACCAAAAUUUGCAAUUAGUUAUAGCCUGCACUCAUAGCUUAUUCACGUCAGAGAUACCAGAAUUUCAGAGCUAAGCCUCUUCUGAAGCUCUUCUCAGAGUCAUUCUAGAAGCCAAAAGGUUUGCAACUGCAGAAUUAUCUGGGAUCUUAUUAGAAAUGCAGACUACCAAGUAAACCUCAGACCUACAGAAUCAUAAUGUGCAUUUUUACAACAUCCUCAGUCAAUUCGGAUGUCCAUGAAAAUCUGAUAUGCUGCUGUACAUCACUUUGACUUUCCAUGCAGGAUGGAAUAGGAUCACCACAUCAAAGCCAAGUUAGUACAAAAGACUGAAGAUAUGAUUGAAAAAGAUCAGAGUUCAAGUUCCAGCUAUAAUAUUAAUGGAGGAUAUGUG
rnacentral:lncRNA from 1 species